GACGAACGCUGGCGGCGUGCUUAACACAUGCAAGUCGAGCGGAAAGGCCACUUCGGUGGUACUCGAGCGGCGAACGGGUGAGUAACACGUGAGUAAUCUGCCCCUGGCUUUGGGAUAGCCACCGGAAACGGUGAUUAAUACCGGAUACGACCACUUCUCGCAUGGGAUGGUGGUGGAAAGUGUUUUCGGCAAGGGAUGUGCUCGCGGCCUAUCAGCUGGAUGGUGAGGUAAUGGCUCACCAUGGCUUCGACGGGUAGCCGGCCUGAGAGGGUGACCGGUCACACUGGGACUGAGACACGGCCCAGACUCCUACGGGAGGCAGCAGUGGGGAAUAUUGGACAAUGGGCGGAAGCCUGAUCCAGCAACGCCGCGUGAGGGAUGACGGCCUUCGGGUUGUAAACCUCUUUCAGCAGGGACGAAGCGCAAGUGACGGUACCUGCAGAAGAAGCACCGGCCAACUACGUGCCAGCCGCCGCCGUAA
rnacentral:rRNA from 1 species